rnacentral:rRNA from 1 species
UACGGGAGGCAGCAGUGGGGAAUAUUGCACAAUGGGCGCAAGCCUGAUGCAGCCAUGCCGCGUGUAUGAAGAAGGCCUUCGGGUUGUAAAGUACUUUCAGUCGUGAGGAAGGUGUUAAGGUUAAUAACCUUAGCAAUUGACGUUAGCGACAGAAGAAGCACCGGCUAACUCCGUGCCAGCAGCCGCGGUAAUACGGGAGGGUGCGAGCGUUAAUCGGAAUUACUGGGCGUAAAGGGCACGCAGGCGGUUAAUUAAGUUGGAUGUGAAAUCCCCGGGCUUAACCUGGGAAUGGCAUUCAAGACUGGUUAGCUAGAGUCUUGUAGAGGGGGUAGAAUUCCAUGUGUAGCGGUGAAAUGCGUAGAGAUGUGGAGGAAUACCGGUGGCGAAGGCGGCCCCUGGACAAAGACUGACGCUCAUGUGCGAAAGCGUGGGGAGCAAACG